UAGAAUGAUCUAAAAAAAUUUUUUCAAUGACUAUUGUAAUGACACAAGAUGCGUAGAAGUUGAUGUGAAUCGGGUUUUUCCUAAGUAAUGUGACGAGUAAGAACAGAGUAGGAUUAUGAACAAGAAGAAUAACGGACAAGACGCCUAAGAGGACGACGCUAGGCUAGCGACGACAGAGGACUGUGCCCUUUUUAUUGUUUAUUAAAUUGUUGAAGUUAUCAGCCUGCGUUAUUAAGUAUAUUCUUGAUUCAUUCUGUUGUUGUGUCAUAUGGACUCGCAUGCACCAGUAACAUAUAUAUACUCAUCAACAAAAUAGACCAUCAACAGAUGUGGCGACCCCGACGGCCAGGGCGUCAUUUUGAUCUACAAUCUAGUUAACUUCGUGUUCUGGAUAUAUCUAUCUACAAUUCUACACUUGGCGAAGUACACUGAAGAAGUACUGGAUUAACAUUCGUUUAUUUCUACUAGAUCUACCCUACGUCUGUGCUAAUUAUCUGGACUGCAGCUGGAUUUUGGCAUCUUUGUUCCAGUGGAUCUAGACUUUCUAUUAGAGAAAAUUCGAAACCGUUACCAGCGUCUAGCUUUGUCAGCCAGGUUAGAUAUUUUUAGAUUGAACCUGGAUCUAUAUAUAGAUCUAUAUUGACUAUAUCUAUUGUGUCUGAAUCCAGAACUAUUUCGUCCGUGUAAGUGAUCUAGGGCAGUCCGUCGUCAGUAUACCUCUAUCUAAAUAUAUAUACCUCAAGACUACUCAAGAGUGAAGAUACCUCAUUUUGUCAGGUUUAUCUGUUUAUUGUGAGUACGGAAAGUCAUCUGAGUCUACAUAUCUAGUAUCUACAAGCUGACCGUUGGAUCGAGUCACCUUGUCAGGAAAAGUUUGGUGUGAUGUGAGGCGACCAGCCAUGAACAUAUAGCCAAUGACAGUAUUUACUCUGAAAAACUCUGAUUUAUGCCUAUGGAGUCAGCAAAGGUAUCUUCGUAUGUGGACUAUAUACAUGUGUAUUUACUCUGAAAAACUGUUUUAUGUCUGUGGAAUCGACAAAGGCAUCGUCGUAUGGGGACUGUAUACAUGUCUUGAUGGACUUAGUACUAUUGGUUGGUGAAACUAUUACACUGUACUAUACUAUUUCAUCGUCAAUGACAUGAGUGAUGAUUAGAACACUAUAUACCGGAUAUUUUCUUACCAAUAACUGUAUUGGAACUGUAUUGUUUUCUUGGUGUCAACAUUCAACUACAGUGUGAACUUUGUGACAUAGGAACAUGGACAAUUUUACCAGGGAACUGAUGAAGAUGGGAAACAUUAUGAUGUCCAUCAAGAUCAAGAUAUAUGUUUGUUUUGUCUUUCCCCAAAAUUUUGGCCAUAUAUAUUGUACAGACAUGACAGUAGGGAUAGUGUUUUAGACUGAAAAAAAAAAUUGACAAAAUUUUUUUUUUUUGAUAAAGGGGGGAGGAAAUAUGUAAUGACACAAGAUGCGUAGAAGUUGAUGUGAAUCGGGUUUUUCCUAAGUAAUGUGACGAGUAAGAACAGAGUAGGAUUAUGAACAAGAAGAAUAACGGACAAGACGCCUAAGAGGACGACGCUAGGCUAGCGACGACAGAGGACUGUGCCCUUUUUAUUGUUUAUUAAAUUGUUGAAGUUA